AGGACUUCUUUUUACAAAUAUAUACUUGAGCAUGCGCAGUUUGUAAUCAAUCACAUUUUCAAACAAGGAUUGAAACAGUUAACAUAGCUAACACUUUGCAUUUAAGUGUAGCAUAUGAUAAGAUAGGAAGAAGGGUUUGGUUCUUCCUUGGAGAUGCACCAACUCCAGUACACACAUACAUAGACCUAACAAAUAUUUCUUCACCAGGAACUAUGUCACACAUCAAGGCUCCAUCAUCCGUGAAAUCAAACUAAUUUAGCUACCCAUCAAAUGUAGAAAAACCUUUGCUGCUGCAAACUUGCACGUUCAUUCUCCCCUGCAAUCUUAGCUCGCGGAACCCGGCUUCGAGGGCAGAUACAGAGGCAUGGGGACCUGUCAUGAUUUUUUGAGAAUGCAAAACACACCAGCAUGAGAUUUAUUAGGAAAACACAUUAUAUUAGUUUCUAAUUGGCUCACAUUAUAGCAGAAAUAAUGAGAACUGACAACAGGCCUGGAAGAUAGACUAACAACAUAUUUCCCAAAACCAAAUUAGCUAGAUUAGGAUUUCCUUAUGUACAUACCGCCACAACAUAUUAUAGAAUCUAUAACCUCACUGGAGAACAAAGUGUUCAGUAAAAAAUAACACAAUCUGGCCUACAUAACUUUGGAAUCACUUCACAUGGUUGAAACUUGUAAGCUUGACAUUCCUUAUUAGCAUUAAGGCGAGCCAAAAGUAUCGAAACCAUGAUGACCUAAAUAGUGCAUCAGGUAGAGAGCAUUACCUGCACUGGCCAAAUGAUGACAUGGUCUUCCCCUACGUUGCACAAAUACUUUAGAAAGUGCGCGUAUCCAGCCGGAUACUGCCCUGAUACUCGGAUACUGCCCUGAUACUGCCCGAUACAUAUCCCGUAAGUAUCCUGUGAUUUGUUAAUUUAAAAAAAAUAGUGUUUGAUUUUAUUUUAUUUUUGAACCGGGCUUUACCCCUUUCCAUUACUAAGAACAGAAAUACAAACAAAUUCAAGUUGACAGGAGGAGGGAAAGAGGGUAGAGCGAGUUCAAGCAUUACCAAGAAACCCACCACAUCUGCUCGCCAUCGAAACGGAUGCCGUGGGGCAAAAACCUGGUAACACUAACAUUAAAGUCUAUUACAGUCAUAGCCAGCAAAAGAACGGCCAAACAGGCCUCUCAGCGUACGUUUUGGAUACGGCAACCCCUUCUUUCGACGUGAAAAACAGAAAACUCCUCGAUUCCCUCCUGGUGCCGCUGCACGUCAUCAAUUCCCAGCGGGCAGCUCGUCCUCUCG
rnacentral:lncRNA from 1 species